AGGUUACUGCUAUCGGUGUUCGCCUAAGCCAUGCGAGUCAUAUGUUCUUCGUGAACAUGGCGUACUGCUCAGUAACACGUGGAUAACCUGCCCUUGGGUCCGGCAUAACCCCGGGAAACUGGGGAUAAUUCCGGAUAACGCACAUAUGCUGGAAUGCUUUAUGCGUCAAAUGGAUUCGUCCGCCCAAGGAUGGGUCUGCGGCCUAUCAGGUAGUAGUGGGUGUAAUGUACCUACUAGCCUACGACGGGUACGGGUUGUGAGAGCAAGAGCCCGGAGAUGGAUUCUGAGACAUGAAUCCAGGCCCUACGGGGCGCAGCAGGCGCGAAAACUUUACAAUGCGGGAAACCGUGAUAAGGGGACACCGAGUGCCAGCAUCAUAUGUUGGCUGUCCGGGUGUGUAAAAUACACCUGUUAGCAAGGGCCGGGCAAGACCGGUGCCAGCCGCCGCGGUAACACCGGCGGCCCGAGUGGUGAUCGUGAUUAUUGGGUCUAAAGGGUCCGUAGCCGGUUUGGUCAGUCCUCCGGGAAAUCUGACGGCUUAACCGUUAGGCUUUCGGAGGAUACUGCCAGACUUGGAACCGGGAGAGGUAAGAGGUACUACAGGGGUAGGAGUGAAAUCUUGUAAUCCCUGUGGGACCACCUGUGGCGAAGGCGUCUUACCAGAACGGGUUCGACGGUGAGGGACGAAAGCUGGAGGCACGAACCGGAUUAGAUACCCGGGUAGUCCCAGCCGUAAACGAUGCUCGCUAGGUGUCAGGCAUGGCGCGACCGUGUCUGGUGCCGCAGGGAAGCCGUGAAGCGAGCCACCUGGGAAGUACGGCCGCAAGGCUGAAACUUAA
rnacentral:rRNA from 1 species